GCAACCAUGACUUUGGUCUCCAUCUUCAUCUGGACGCUCACCCUCUGGACUCAAGGAUCCAGUGAUCAGGUGACUGUGACUCAGACUCCUGCAGUGAAAACUGUUUCUCCAGGAGACUCAGUUACCAUCAGCUGUAAGUUCAGCAGCGCUGUUGCUGAUUAUUGUGAUGGGUCAAAUGACUGUUUAGCCUGGUAUCAGCAAAAACCUGGAGAAGCUCCUAAACUCCUGAUCUAUGCUGCUACCAGUAGACAGUCAGGUGUUCCAGCUCGUUUCAGUGGCAGUGGAUCUGGAUCUGACUUCACUCUGACCAUCAGUAAUGUCCAGACUGAAGAUGCAGGAGAUUAUUACUGUCAGAGUUUUCAUUAUAUCAGUAGCACAAACCUGUUCCCACAGUGUUUAGUAGGUGUACAAAAACCCCCCUCAGUCCAGCUGCACAGAGACUUCACUCUCACACUCAUCAGUUUUUAGUAGGAGAUCAUAUUCAGAGGUGAGUUCACUGUAAAACAUAGUUUAUUUACUA